GACAGAGGGUGCAAACGUUGUUCGGAAUUACUGGGCGUAAAGCGUGUGUAGGCGGCUUUGCAAGUCGGAUGUGAAAGCCCCGGGCUCAACCCGGGAAGUGCACUCGAUACUGCAGGGCUAGAGUGUGGGAGAGGUUGGUGGAAUUCUCGGUGUAGAGGUGAAAUUCGUAGAUAUCGAGAGGAACAUCGGCGGCGAAGGCGGCCAACUGGACCACUACUGACGCUGAGACACGAAAGCGUGGGGAGCAAACAG
rnacentral:rRNA from 1 species